AUUGAACGCUGGCGGCAUGCCUAACACAUGCAAGUCGAACGGCAGCAUGACCUAGCUUGCUAGGUUGAUGGCGAGUGGCGCACGGGUGAGUAAUGCGUAGGAAUAUACCUUAAAGUGGGGGAUAACCUGGGGAAACUCAGGCUAAUACCGCAUGAGCUCUGAGGAGGCAAGCUGGGGACCGCAAGGCCUGGCGCUUUAAGAUUAGCCUACGUCCGAUUAGCUAGUUGGUGGGGUAAGAGCUUACCAAGGCGACGAUCGGUAGCUGGUCUGAGAGGAUGAUCAGCCACACUGGGACAGAGACACGGCCCAGACUCCUACGGGAGGCAGCAGUGGGGAAUUUUGGACAAUGGGCGCAAGCCUGAUCCAGCAAUGCCGCGUGCAGGAAGAAGGCCUUCGGGUUGUAAACUGCUUUUGUACGGAACGAAAAGGCUCUGGAUAAUACCUGGGGCUCAUGACGGUACCGUAAGAAUAAGCACCGGCUAACUACGUGCCAGCCGCCGCCGUAAUAC
rnacentral:rRNA from 1 species